AAAAAAAAAAAAGAGAAAAGAAAGAAGGAUUUACGCAACGGGGGAAUUUUACGGAACGAUUUAUUGCUGAGGGAUGGGGCCAAGAAUAAAUAUGGAUUGAUGCAAAUGCAACGUUUGGAAUUCGCGAAUAGAAAAAACAGGGACAUGCUCCGUCAAAUCGGAAAAAUCGUAGUAAAAAAUCGCCCGUAACCUGUAACGUUCGGCUAUUCCCUGAACUGGAACAUCUGUUAUUAUUUUAUUCACUGAACCGACAGUGUUAAGUUACAGAGUAAGCAAGCAACGACGGAAGAACGAAAUUCCAAAGAGGAUGAGAAAAAAAGAGAGGAGGAAACGAAGCGAGUCCAUAACUUGGCAUAAACCGAGCGCAAUCUGAAAGUUAGCCGCGGUUCCCUUUACAUCAAACUGAAAGGACUGAAGGGCAGGGAAGCAGUUUCAGGUCAACCGCGUUCCACAUGGUAACUCCGCUAACGAGAACGGGAUUACCCCGGUCUAGUUUGUUCCCGGUCGAACUUAAAUCUCGAUCCAAACGAGCUGCAGGUAUUGCUUAAGUUUCGCCGCGGAGAAAUUCCACGGAGGAGGAGCCGAUCCCGCGGCGCCACGUCACCGCUGACCCAGAAAUCCUUCUCGGGGAUUCUUUUUCGCGCAAUUGCGCGUCGAUUUUCUAUUCAUAAUCGACGGGCCAAACGGGAAAUGAUCACGACGACGACGACGAACCAGGACGAGACGCGACAAAGGAAUUUUCACCGAGCGAAAGAGGAAGAGACAGUUUCAUUAUACGCGCGGUUCCGCGGUCACCCCGUCAGGGACCGACCGACAAUGCGAACGGAAAGCGCAAAUCAUCCCCGUGGAAUAGAGAGCGGCCCGAUUCAUUUUAACGACCGUUAAACCGGACGAAUGGAGAAUGCGAUGUUACACUUGACGAUCGUUAAAACUUAACGAAAUCCAGCCCGCGAGGCAGUAGAACGGGCCAGCGUGCUGCCAGCCUGGAAAUCGAGGUCAGCCGUGCAGGGGAGAAAAAAAAAAAAAAUCGUAUAAUUGCUCCCCCUGAAGGCUGGAUACGAGGUUACGGCUGGAUAACUAGUACCAGUCGUAACUGAAGGCUCUAAGGCGAGAUGCUGGACGCAGAUUGGACUAACAGUUGCGUUAUCGGUGUUGCACAGUCGAUGGAAGAUAUACGCAGGUCGGUGUGGAGUGGGUUAGAGGGUUUAAUUAACGUUCGUCGCGAAUUGAAACAGGGAGUAUCGAGAUUUUGUGAAAUUCAAGGAAUUUGAAUUUCUCGUUCGGAACUGGUUUUCCAAUUAUAAAUUAAUAACACGUAGGUGCUUUCGGCAAAUUUUCGUACAAGAAAUGCGAGACUUAGGAUUUAAAAUUAGUGUAAACUUUAUAUCAGACUCUGUUCGAAUAUUUUUGCCAUUUGAUCGCCGCAAAAGUAGCAAUUUCGUGGCGCGAACUACAUUAACGUGAGUUUCCAGCGAAAUAAGCAUGAAGUCAUAAAUUGGGGUUACUUUCAACAAUUUACCGAGUCGCUAUUAAAUCGACCCGCGUCCUUUCGACUUUGUAACUUUUUAAGAACGACGAGGGGGACCGAACGACGUUUAAUUGCCUGUCGAAUACGACUUACGAGAAAAAGGGGGGGGGGGGGAAAGGAAAGAAGAAAAAGAAACUGUCGUUCGUUGAAAAUAACGGAGAAACACGAGCAAACAGGCAACAAAAGGGACAAAUCGCUGGCGAACGUCUAUUUUCAUUACGUGGAACUGCUCGGUAAACUCAGAUCCUUUUCCUCCCCCGUAUGCAUCGAGUUCUCCAAACUCUCCUAACGUAAUUUCACGUUAUGUUUAACGACAAGAGAGAGGCACGCGCUUUUGCCUCGUAUCGAAAGCAAAAUCCAAUGAAAGAG